UCUCUCUUUAUAUAGGACUCUACUCUGUAACGUUUGAAGCGCUAAGUGGACCGCAGCCUGAGACGCAUCCAUUGCGUGAAACAUAACCUUAUGCACAUUGUGCACGUGCAAUUUUAUUUAUUAAUCGAACUACAUUGAGCAUUAAAUCAUGGUCAUUUAAUAUGAUGUGUAAAAGGAAUUGAAAUCACAUUUAUUACUUAAUCUAUAAAUAUUUCCAAAACGGAAAGUAUAUCACUUAAUUAUAUAUAUUACAAUGACAAAUCAGCGACCAGUUUCUUGUGGGUUAGAUUUCUGCUGUGCUGCAAAUUUAAAGGACUGUUUAGUUUAUGCGCAUGAUUCACAAUAUGAUUUUAUUUGUGCCCCUUUGGUUCAUCCUUUAUUUAAAAGAGAAUUUAUCUCGGGUCCUGCCAAAAAUCGUGCAGGACCAUUUACUAGGCCUGACUUAAUUUUAGAUAGUUCAGAUUGGAAUAAUUUAAUAAUUGGAAAGUUUUCUCCAUUUAUCAAUGUUGAUUCGACUAAUCCCAUUGUUAGGAAAAAUAGCGAAGAAGCCUUGAAUCAGGAAUUAGGCUUAGCUAACCAUUUUGGUUUAUCAGGUGUGACUUUUAAAUUAAGAUGUGGAAUAAACAAAAAUGUGAAUCUUGCAAGGGUUAUUUCUGAUAAAAUAACAAAUAACAAUUGUACUUUCCAGGUAUGGAUACAAGUUCCUAUGGAGAAUCCAAUUAAACAAGCCUAUUCUUAUAGAACAGAGGAUUGUCCAGAAGAAGAAAAUCCAUGGGAAUGGUGGAAUUCUUUUAGAGUAAUAUGUGAUUAUAAUAAAAGAUUGGGAAUUGCAUUAAUUGUCAGUCUUGACUUGCCUGAUGAGGAUGAGAUUAAUAGAUGGCUCGGAGAACCAGUGAGAUGUUUGAUUAUGCCGACAACGUUAUUUGUAACAAAUAAAAAGGGAUAUCCAGUACUCUGUAAGGCACAUCAAGAAUUAGUAAAAAGAUUUGCUGCCUUAGAAGUACAAUUUAUUGUAACAGGCGCAUCACGUUACGAAACCAUUAGCUAUUAUUAUAGUUAUCUUGAUUAUCUGUGGAAGAAAUGUCAAAGUAAUGGAACAGUGGAAAAAUUUGCUCGAGGAUAUGAGGACUAUUUGCAAUGUCCAUUACAACCACUCGUGGAUAAUCUUGAGUCACAAACUUAUGAAAUAUUUGAGAAGGAUCCUGUAAAAUAUCGAGAAUAUCAGAGUGCUACAUAUAAAGCUAUUAAAGCAAUAAUAUCAAAGAUGGAGGAAAAACGAACAAUAGUUAUUAUGGUCGUUGGUGCUGGAAGAGGUCCGCUUGUAACCGCAUCUUUAAACGCCGCAGAAAUGGCGCAUCAGGAAGUGAAGAUAUACGCAGUGGAGAAGAAUCCUCAUGCCGUGAUAACUUUACAGACCCUUCAAAGAAAGAUCUGGAAAGAAAAAGUUACAGUGGUAUCAUGUGAUAUGAGAGAAUGGAAUCCUCCAGAAAAAGCUGAUAUUAUCAUCUCUGAAUUACUUGGGUCUUUUGGCGAUAAUGAAUUGUCUCCAGAAUGUUUAGAUAAUGUCCUUAAGUUCUUAAAAGAAGAUGGAAUUAACAUACCACAGUCAUAUACUUCAUACAUAGCUCCUAUGCAAUCCUCUAAAUUAUACAACGAAGUGAGACAGCUCAGAGAUAAAGAUAAACAUCCAUUAGCUCAUUUUGAGACUCCAUACGUAGUACAUCUUCAAAAUAAAUAUGAUAUAGCAAACCCAAAACCACUUUUUACAUUCAAACAUCCAAAUAUAGAUGCUGUUAUUGAUAAUUCGAGAUAUGAAACCAAAACUUUUCAAGUAGAUCAGAACUGCAUAUUACAUGGAUUUUCAGGAUACUUCUCAGCAAUUUUAUAUGAACAUAUUACAUUAAGCAUAGAACCUAGUACUUAUAGUCCAGAUAUGUUCAGUUGGUUUCCAAUCUUUUUUCCACUUAAGGAGCCUGUACAAUUAAAAGCAGGAGAUGAAAUAGUGGUUCAUUUUUGGCGCAGAUGUGACUCUAAAAAAGUGUGGUAUGAAUGGUGUCUCAGCAAACCCAUUCCCGUCUCAAUUCACAAUUCAACUGGACGUUUUUCCACUAUCGGAUUAUAAUGUAAUGAUUUUGUGAUUAUUUCUUGUUUAUUCAAGAAUUUCUCGCUAAACGUAUGCGAUGACGUAAUUAAGUUAUUAAGUAUUUAGUUGAAUUUUUUAACUAGAUACUUAAUAACAUAUUUUUUGAAUAUCCAAACAGUAUUCUAUAUCCGAAUAUUUUUAAUAUUAAUUUUAUUUCAAAUUUACGAGAUUUAUUUUAUGACAUUAACACUAACUAGCGCGAUUAAAAGCUUCAAUUUGAUAUAAAACUUGACGUAACGUAAAAUACGAAUUUUUUAUUUACAUAUAUAACGCAACAAGUAUUUUUAAAACAAUUGUUUAUUUCAAAAUGUUAUUGAAAUAUUUGUUUCACUUAGGCUUCAAAGGUACGUACUCAAACGUGUACUUUUUGUUACCCGCUAUUUAUUCAGUAUCAGGUAAUCAUUGAUAAUGCAAAAUGAUUAAUAAAGGAAAGUGUACUUGUAGUUGUAUUAAAGAUAUGAUAUGUGAAUAUUUCCUUGCAAACGGUUUUUUAUAUAAUACAACUGUGGAUCUCUUAUUAUGAAGCUGAUGUCUCAGGUCACUGAUAUUCAAUGAGGUCACUGAUAUGGUAGAAUUCUGAUAACAUGUGUUACGAGAUGUUCUCGAAACGUGCUGUUACUGUCCUCUUAAACUCACGUGAUUCGAAAAACAUUGUGUAAUUUCUACAUGUUAUAAGAUUAGCAUUGAUAAGGAAAAUAAUGCUACAAUACACAAAUAUAUAUACAUAUAUAUGUACACUUUGCAAUGAAUUUUUGCAUAUUAAUUUUUUUACAAAUGACUUGAAAUCUUUUACAUAAAUGCUUCCAAUUUAUUUAAUAAAACAAGCCUAAAAAAAUUGUCCUAUCAAAUCAUUUUGUAUGAAGCAAAAGUUAUCUUAGAUUUCAUUGUAUAACUAAAGCACAAGAAAAAACAAGAGAUACAUGUAAUAUUUAUAGAUGUAAUUUUAUUGCUAAUGAUUCAUGGGAUCAAUAUAGAAGAUACUAAAAGAAAGCAUUACCACUUAUAAGAAAUUCUUAUAUUUCUUCUCAUUUAACCUAUGUAGAUCCAGGGAACAUUUUAAUUAUAAAUAACUUUAAAUAGUAAAAGAGAAUUAAUCAAAUAAUAAAGUUUUAGGUAACAAAAUCUGUGAAAUAAAAUGAAACUCAAUGUAAAUUGAAAGUAAUUAUGCAAAAAUUAAUGGAAUUAAUCAAGCAAUUUAAUAUCUUCAUUAUUGUAAAAUGUAUGAGAAUGUGAUGUAAUAUAACAAAGUUUAGCUACAUUAAAAACGUAAUGCAACAAUUGCUUCUAUAUUAUCAGAAAUGGAUUAUAUUUGUAUUUUUGUCUAUAAGUAAAAACAUUGUAUGUGCAACUUUUCAAGUUAUUUUUGCAUUAUUUAAUCAUGUUCAAUUGGAGCAAAUCAUAUUUAAAAAUUGAGUCUGCUGAUCUCUAAUGUAAAAUUUGUAUACAUCAUUCCUUAUUUCAUUACAAAAUUGUAAAUUAUAAUUUAUGUCUACUCUCACAGUCUGAAAAUAUUCUCAAGAUUAUAAUUUAACAAGUAAUGUAUAUCUAAAUGUCAAUUGUUGCUAACGAUACUGGCUGAUAACAGAAAUAUAAAACUAACUUGAUUGCUUAAAGAUCGGAGGUCGCUUGGUAAUUGUACUUGCGAUUGUUCUAUGCUUGUACGCAAUUAACAUUUGUAUUUCAAGCUAAGGAAAAGAGGCUAAAAUUGGAAAAAAAAUUUAUUUUCACUAUUCCUGAUGAAGUUCCUGGUACACCUGGUUUAAAUAAAAGCAAGUUUUUUAAUUCAUCGAUUGAUCAAUCGCAUUGUGUAGCUUUUACAGAGCAAAGUUACAUUUGCGUAUAAUGUGGUUGAUCAACCAUUGAAUUAAAAAAAAAAAAAAACUCGUCAUAGUUGGAUCAUAUUUCCGAGACGCGAUAAGAGAGGGUAACCCGAUAACGGUCGAAACGUGCUCGCUAGAUCGUAACUUUGUCUCAUUAUUCGCUCCGUUUUACUCUCGCCGCGGGUCGCACGUCGUACGUCGCACGUCGUACAUUCGCGCGUGGCAUUCAGAGUGAGGUUAGGUUAUCUCGUGUACGAUCUCGCACGGUGAUCGCGACAACGAAGGAAAAAUGGCAAGAUUGAUCGUUCAGAUCAGCAAAUGUGCGGUAAAGACGCUCGCGGUCUCGCAUAGCGGUUUGCUCGGCACAGCCGCAAAAUCGAAAAUACCUCUCGCCAUGGCGCGAUCCAUAACCACAACUCGGUGCUUGCGAGAUGAGGAAUGCGGAGCUCUGGAAUCAGUGAAGGCAGCUUCGGAACUAAUAAGUCCGGUCAGCGGAAAAGUUACGGAGAAAAAUGAGGCGGUGGAAAAUAAACCCGCAUUAAUUAAUAAAUCUUGUUACAAAGAUGGUUGGCUAUUCAAAGUAGAGUUAAGCGAUCCAGACGAGCUCAAGAGUCUAAUGAAUGAGGAGGAUUAUAAUUCGUUUUUAAAAUCAGAUGCACAUUAAAUUUAUACUUACGCUAGAAAAUUUUUCUCUAACGUAGAAUUUGAAUCAAAUCAGUAAUAUCAAAAAUUGUAUGUUCUGUUUAAAGACACCACUCGAGAUUUCAAUGAUCUUAUUGAAACACUUGAAAGACAUUUUUACUAUAAUUGUUCGUACAAUAUGUUCACGUACGAUUUAAUUAAAACUUAUCCAAAAAUUAA